rnacentral:rRNA from 1 species
AACGAACGCUGGCGGCAUGCCUAACACAUGCAAGUCGAACGAGACCUUCGGGUCUAGUGGCGCACGGGUGCGUAACGCGUGGAACCUGCCCUUAGGUUCGGAAUAACUCCCCGAAAGGGGUUCUAAUACCGGAUAAUGUCUUCGGACCAAAGAUUUAUCGCCUUUGGAUGGGCCCGCGUUGGAUUAGCUAGUUGGUAGGGUAAAAGCCUACCAAGGCGACGAUCCAUAGCUGGUCUGAGAGGAUGAUCAGCCACACUGGGACUGAGACACGGCCCAGACUCCUACGGGAAGCAGCAGUGGGGAAUAUUGGACAAUGGGCGAAAGCCUGAUCCAGCAAUGCCGCGUGAGUGAUGAAGGCCUUAGGGUUGUAAAGCUCUUUUACCCGGGAUGAUAAUGACAGUACCGGGAGAAUAAGCUCCGGCUAACUCCGUG